rnacentral:lncRNA from 1 species
UAGAAAACAAAGAGAAAGGAAUGACAAAUGAAUGAAUAUCUAGUAAUACAGGCAGAUACUUUGGGUGCAUAAUAUAAAGUCACACCUUGCAUUGACUGUUUCAAGCAUUGCACUUGUCAGCUGCUAAGCCCAAUCUCAAAAAGGAAAGCUGCAGCAUCUGUGUACCUGACGAUAACAAAACCAUCAAUAAUGCCUAUUCAUAUAAGGUUUGCUUACAUAUGCAAACAAGGUAUUUGCCUAUAAACAGAUUUUCCAACUUUACAGGCAGUUCAACACAUACAACAACAAUCUUAUGUGUGGUCAUGAGUCCAGUGCCAAAACAUGGGCAUUACUUGCAGUCUGAGAGUUCUAAACUUGUCUUCAAACAAGAGUCUCCAUGUGGCGUCAGAGGGAACUUUAGAAUUGGUUUCACUAGAGUGGCUCCAUCUACAAGGGACAAACAUAACAGUGUUGCCAAUUCAGUUUCAUAGAUUGUCAAAACUGCAAUAUUUGGACUUCAGGAGGACAUCGAUCUCUAUAAAAUCCCAUGACAAUUGAUAUGUAAAUUUUCGACCUUGCAAAUAUUCAAAUUGUAUCCAAUCAAUAGAUGCGAGGAUAAAAUAGAGAGCGUCCUAAAUGGAGGUAUUGAAGGUUUAAUACAGAACUUGAAGUGCCUGCAACAUUGGAAUGUGCUAUGUAUAGAAAUAAAAACUGUUUUGGCUCUUGAAAGCCUUUUAAUACUGUGUAAUCAUGCAUUGUAAAUGUCAAUCUAACACUAAUCACAAUUGAACACAAAUGAAGAAGUUAAAGCAAUGGAAACUAAGUGUGCUUGGUCUUACUCUUUGGGAGUUCCUUUCCUUUUGCUCAAAAAGAUAAAAUGGA